GAUGAACGCUGGCGGCGUGCCUAAUACAUGCAAGUCGAGCGAAUGGAUUAAGAGCUUGCUCUUAUGAAGUUAGCGGCGGACGGGUGAGUAACACGUGGGUAACCUGCCCAUAAGACUGGGAUAACUCCGGGAAACCGGGGCUAAUACCGGAUAACAUUUUGAACCGCAUGGUUCGAAAUUGAAAGGCGGCUUCGGCUGUCACUUAUGGAUGGACCCGCGUCGCAUUAGCUAGUUGGUGAGGUAACGGCUCACCAAGGCAACGAUGCGUAGCCGAACUGAGAGGGUGAUCGGCCACACUGGGACUGAGACACGGCCCAGACUCCUACGGGAGGCAGCAGUAGGGAAUCUUCCGCAAUGGACGAAAGUCUGACGGGGCAACGCCGCGUGAGUGAUGAAGGCUCUCGGGUCGUAAAACUCUGUUGUUAGGGAAGAACAAGUGCUAGUUGAAUAAGCUGGCACCUUGACGGUACCUAACCAGAAAGCCACGGCUAACUACGUGCCAGCCGCCGCGGUAA
rnacentral:rRNA from 1 species